AAUCUUAUAAUUUAAAAUAAAAUAUUAAAUUGCAAAUUUAAAAACAUAAUUAUUAUUAUUAAGAUUU
rnacentral:tRNA from 1 species